rnacentral:rRNA from 1 species
AACGAACGCUGGCGGCAUGCCUAAUACAUGCAAGUCGAACGCGCCUAGCGAUAGGCGAGUGGCGGACGGGUGAGUAACGCGUGGGAACCUGCCCUUGAGUGCGGGAUAACCGAGGGAAACUUCGGCUAAUACCGCAUGCGCCCCGGGCAACUGGGGGAAAGAUUUAUCGCUCGAGGAGGGGCCCGCGUCGGAUUAGCUAGUUGGUGGGGUAAUGGCCUACCAAGGCGAUGAUCCGUAGCUGGUCUGAGAGGAUGAUCAGCCACACUGGGACUGAGACACGGCCCAGACUCCUACGGGAGGCAGCAGUAGGGAAUAUUGGACAAUGGGGGCAACCCUGAUCCAGCAAUGCCGCGUGAGUGAUGAAGGCCUUAGGGUUGUAAAGCUCUUUCGCACGCGACGAUGAUGACGGUAGCGUGAGAAGAAGCCCCGGCUAACUUCGUGCCAGCCGCCGCAGUAAAAC